AUUGAACGCUGGCGGCAGGCCUAACACAUGCAAGUCUAACGGUAACAGAAAGCAGCUUGCUGCUUCGCUGACGAGUGGCGGACGGGUGAGUAAUGUCUGGGAAACUGCCUGAUGGAGGGGGAUAACUACUGGAAACGGUAGCUAAUACCGCAUAACGUCGCAAGACCAAAGAGGGGGACCUUCGGGCCUCUUGCCAUCGGAUGUGCCCAGAUGGGAUUAGCUAGUAGGUGGGGUAAAGGCUCACCUAGGCGACGAUCCCUAGCUGGUCUGAGAGGAUGACCAGCCACACUGGAACUGAGACACGGUCCAGACUCCUACGGGAGGCAGCAGUGGGGAAUAUUGCACAAUGGGCGCAAGCCUGAUGCAGCCAUGCCGCGUGUAUGAAGAAGGCCUUCGGGUUGUAAAGUACUUUCAGCGGGGAGGAAGGGAGUAAAGUUAAUACCUUUGCUCAUUGACGUUACCCGCAGAAGAAGCACCGGCUAACUCCGUG
rnacentral:rRNA from 1 species